AUUGUAUCCACGAUUGGGGAAUUUUCCGCAAUGGGCGCAAGCCUGACGGAGCAAGACCGCGUGAGGGAGGAAGGCUCUUGGGUUGUAAACCUCUUUUAUCAGGGAAGAAGCUCUGACGGUACCUGAUGAAUCAGCAUCGGCUAACUCCGUGCCAGCAGCCGCGGUAAUACGGAGGAUGCAAGCGUUAUCCGGAUUUAUUGGGCGUAAAGCGUCCGCAGGUGGUUUUACAAGUCUGCUGUUAAAGCGUGAGGCUUAACCUCGUACAGGCAGUGGAAACUGUGAGACUAGAGUAUGGUAGGGGUAGCGGGAAUUCCCAGUGUAGCGGUGAAAUGCGUAGAUAUUGGGAAGAACACCAGCGGCGAAAGCGCGCUACUGGGCCAUUACUGACACUCAUGGACGAAAGCUAGGGGAGCGAAAGGGAUUAGAUACCCCUGUAGUCAAUCGUGGAUACAAU
rnacentral:rRNA from 1 species